GGGUUGUGAGGUUAAGCGACUAAGCGUACACGGUGGAUGCCCUGGCAGUCAGAGGCGAUGAAGGACGUGCUAAUCUGCGAUAAGCGCCGGUAAGGUGAUAUGAACCGUUAUAACCGGCGAUUUCCGAAUGGGGAAACCCAGUGUGACUCGUCACACUAUCAUUAACUGAAUCCAUAGGUUAAUGAGGCGAACCGGGGGAACUGAAACAUCUAAGUACCCCGAGGAAAAGAAAUCAACCGAGAUUCCCCCAGUAGCGGCGAGCGAACGGGGAGGAGCCCAGAGCCUGAAUCAGCAUGUGUGUUAGUGGAAGCGUCUGGAAAGGCGCGCGAUACAGGGUGACAGCCCCGUACACAAAAGCGCAUGUGCUGUGAGCUCGAUGAGUAGGGCGGGACACGUGGUAUCCUGUCUGAAUAUGGGGGGACCAUCCUCCAAGGCUAAAUACUCCUGACUGACCGAUAGUGAACCAGUACCGUGAGGGAAAGGCGAAAAGAACCCCGGCGAGGGGAGUGAAAAAGAACCUGAAACCGUGUACGUACAAGCAGUGGGAGCACAGGUUUACCUGUGUGACUGCGUACCUUUUGUAUAAUGGGUCAGCGACUUAUAUUCUGUAGCAAGGUUAACCGAAUAGGGGAGCCGGAGGGAAACCGAGUCUUAAUUGGGCGUUAAGUUGCAGGGUAUAGACCCGAAACCCGGUGAUCUAGCCAUGGGCAGGUUGAAGGUUGGGUAACACUAACUGGAGGACCGAACCGACUAAUGUUGAAAAAUUAGCGGAUGACCUGUGGCUGGGGGUGAAAGGCCAAUCAAACCGGGAGAUAGCUGGUUCUCCCCGAAAGCUAUUUAGGUAGCGCCUCGUGAAUUCAUCUCCGGGGGUAGAGCACUGUUUCGGCUAGGGGGCCAUCCCGGCUUACCAACCCGAUGCAAACUGCGAAUACCGGAGAAUGUUAUCACGGGAGACACACGGCGGGUGCUAACGUCCGUCGUGAAGAGGGAAACAACCCAGACCGCCAGCUAAGGUCCCAAAGUCAUGGUUAAGUGGGAAACGAUGUGGGAAGGCCCAGACAGCCAGGAUGUUGGCUUAGAAGCAGCCAUCAUUUAAAGAAAGCGUAAUAGCUCACUGGUCGAGUCGGCCUGCGCGGAAGAUGUAACGGGGCUAAACCAUGCACCGAAGCUGCGGCAGCGACACUGUGUGUUGUUGGGUAGGGGAGCGUUCUGUAAGCCUGCGAAGGUGUCCCGUGAGGGAUGCUGGAGGUAUCAGAAGUGCGAAUGCUGACAUAAGUAACGAUAAAGCGGGUGAAAAGCCCGCUCGCCGGAAGACCAAGGGUUCCUGUCCAACGUUAAUCGGGGCAGGGUGAGUCGACCCCUAAGGCGAGGCCGAAAGGCGUAGUCGAUGGGAAACGGGUUAAUAUUCCCGUACUUGGUGUUACUGCGAAGGGGGGACGGAGAAGGCUAUGUUGGCCGGGCGACGGUUGUCCCGGUUUAAGCGUGUAGGUGUGUGUUCCAGGUAAAUCCGGUUCACUUUAACACUGAGGCGUGACGACGAGGCACUACGGUGCUGAAGCAACAAAUGCCCUGCUUCCAGGAAAAGCCUCUAAGCAUCAGGUAACAUCAAAUCGUACCCCAAACCGACACAGGUGGUCAGGUAGAGAAUACCAAGGCGCUUGAGAGAACUCGGGUGAAGGAACUAGGCAAAAUGGUGCCGUAACUUCGGGAGAAGGCACGCUGACACGUAGGUGAAGUGAUUUACUCAUGGAGCUGAAGUCAGUCGAAGAUACCAGCUGGCUGCAACUGUUUAUUAAAAACACAGCACUGUGCAAACACGAAAGUGGACGUAUACGGUGUGACGCCUGCCCGGUGCCGGAAGGUUAAUUGAUGGGGUCAGCGCAAGCGAAGCUCCUGAUCGAAGCCCCGGUAAACGGCGGCCGUAACUAUAACGGUCCUAAGGUAGCGAAAUUCCUUGUCGGGUAAGUUCCGACCUGCACGAAUGGCGUAAUGAUGGCCAGGCUGUCUCCACCCGAGACUCAGUGAAAUUGAACUCGCUGUGAAGAUGCAGUGUACCCGCGGCAAGACGGAAAGACCCCGUGAACCUUUACUAUAGCUUGACACUGAACAUUGAGCCUUGAUGUGUAGGAUAGGUGGGAGGCUUUGAAGUGUGGACGCCAGUCUGCAUGGAGCCGACCUUGAAAUACCACCCUUUAAUGUUUGAUGUUCUAACGUGGACCCGUAAUCCGGGUUGCGGACAGUGUCUGGUGGGUAGUUUGACUGGGGCGGUCUCCUCCUAAAGAGUAACGGAGGAGCACGAAGGUUGGCUAAUCCUGGUCGGACAUCAGGAGGUUAGUGCAAUGGCAUAAGCCAGCUUGACUGCGAGCGUGACGGCGCGAGCAGGUGCGAAAGCAGGUCAUAGUGAUCCGGUGGUUCUGAAUGGAAGGGCCAUCGCUCAACGGAUAAAAGGUACUCCGGGGAUAACAGGCUGAUACCGCCCAAGAGUUCAUAUCGACGGCGGUGUUUGGCACCUCGAUGUCGGCUCAUCACAUCCUGGGGCUGAAGUAGGUCCCAAGGGUAUGGCUGUUCGCCAUUUAAAGUGGUACGCGAGCUGGGUUUAGAACGUCGUGAGACAGUUCGGUCCCUAUCUGCCGUGGGCGCUGGAGAACUGAGGGGGGCUGCUCCUAGUACGAGAGGACCGGAGUGGACGCAUCACUGGUGUUCGGGUUGUCAUGCCAAUGGCACUGCCCGGUAGCUAAAUGCGGAAGAGAUAAGUGCUGAAAGCAUCUAAGCACGAAACUUGCCCCGAGAUGAGUUCUCCCUGAGACUUAGAGUCUCCUGAAGGAACGUUGAAGACGACGACGUUGAUAGGCCGGGUGUGUAAGCGCAGCGAUGCGUUGAGCUAACCGGUACUAAUGAACCGUGAGGCUUAACCUUACAACGCCGAAG
rnacentral:rRNA from 1 species